GUGGGACUUUCAUGAAAAUCGUGUUUCUGUCUUUGGAGUGCUAAUGUUUGGGAUUCUUCGGGGUCUGUGUGCUGUUUCAGCUGAUACAGAAACAGAGAAGGUGCUCAAAGUUGGGAGCUCCCUGGAUCUAACAGUCAUCAUAAUAGCCAGGAUGCUGUAACUGUAACUGAGGAAUAAGCAAAUGACUCUCUUUGGUUCCAAAUUCACAACUUUACUGAAGCUGCAAAAAAAACUCAGCUUAAAUUAUCCCCAAUUUCUUUUAUUUUGUAUAUAUUAUCUGCAUUUACAUUCAGAUCUCAGGGCCACAGUAUAUUUUACUGUUCUUAUAUUUGCAUUAUUCUGGAAAAGUCCCACUGUGUUUCCAUGUCCUGUAGAGAAUAUCCUGAGAACAAACCUCCAUUAAUCUUCUCUGUAUUCUACCAGAGAGACUAUAGUGACAUCCUGUUUAAUCACAUACUGCUAUUCCAGUAGCAACAUCUUGUAAUGUGAUAUUUUUGUAUUAUGUGAAGCUUUUUAUAACAGCUGGCACUGUAAAUCAGACUGUUUGAAUAAUUAUAACACGUUAUAAAUCUGCACACUCCACAUUAUUUUUACAUUGUUCCAAUUUCAAUACCUGUGUCUGUAUUUGUAUUAUGUUUAUGUUUAGACUAAACCAAAGCUAAAAGGUAUAAAAUAAAAAUUAAAAUACUGGCUACAGCAUUCUGUGUAUUUUUUUUAGCCACCCACAUAAAACAUUAAUAGACUGAGUAACCUCAGAUAUGUAUUGAGUGAGGACAUGCUUCUGCUGUCUUUUGCUAGUGUUAUUUACUAAAGUAGAGCUGCAACAGUGCAGAGUUAUAAUACAGCAAUGCAGGACUUUAACGGAUAUCGUGUUUCCUUUGCUGGAGUG